UCAUCGUAGGGUUAGUCGGGUCCUAAGCUGAGUCCGAAAGGGGUAAGCGAUGGAAAAUCGGUUAAUAUUCCGAUACCAACUAUAGAGCGUGAUGGGAGGACGCAUAGGGCUAUGUGAGGUCACUGAUGGAAUAGUGGCUCGAAGGGUGUAGGCUGGGAGAGAAAGGAAAAUCCACUCUCCUAUAGCUGAGACCUGACAGGCUGUGGAGGCUCUUAGGAGCCAAAACAGAAUCACAGAUGCCGAAGUGCCGAGAAAAGUCUCUAAGCAUAUCUAUAGUUGCCCGUACCGUAAACCGACACAGGUGGGUGAGAUGAGAAUUCUAAGGCGCGUGGAAGAACCAUUGUUAAGGAACUCUGCAAACUAGCACCGUAUCUUCGGUAGAAGGUGUGCCUACUUGGGUGAAGCCCCUAGCGGGUGGAGCCUGAGAGGUUGCAACAAAGAGUCCCUCCCGACUGUUUAC
rnacentral:rRNA from 1 species